AUGGAUCCCGCGGCGGAGAUGGAUGCCGGCGAGCUGGACGCCCUGCUCCGCGCGGCGGCCGACUUCGCCUCCUACCCAGGAACGCAUGGUGAGGACACAGUGAGGCAGUUCCUGGAACAGUUCCCUCUGCCUAAGCUGCUAGGUGUAUUGCAGAGCCAGGCAGACGUACCUGAGACGGUUGAAACUGUUGCAGCGUGCUUGGACAAAGUAUUUUCGUCCAGAUAUGGCGCUUCACUUCUGCCGAGCUAUGGUGAAUUUAUCCAAGCUGGGUUGCUCACAAACUCAAAUAGUAUCAGACAAUUGGCCUGCAAAGCGGUGGUACAUCUUCUUGACAAGGCUGGAGAUAUUGCUGUUGCUGUGGACACAUUUGUACAGCACAAUCUGUACCCUCUUCUGAUCAACUGCUUGAUUGAGGGAGACGAAGAGAUCUCAGCAAUUGUUUUGGAUGCCAUAAAGCGUCUAGCAGAAAUUCCUACAGGGACUGAUAUCAUAUUUCCACCAGAUGGUCAAGGAUUGCAACUCAACAAAGUGGCAGCCCAGUCAUCCUCAAUGGCACGGAUUCGCAUUCUAUCUUUGAUAGCUAAGCUCUUUGCUGCAUCAAGUUGUACUGCUACUGCAAUUCGUGACUCAAACCUUCUCAGCUUAUUUGAGGAUGAGAUAAAAGAUAGAAAAGAUAUGCUCAAGACCCUGAGUGCACUAGAGGUCCUCUAUGAGCUUGCGGAGCACCCUCACAGCAAUAUGUUCUUGUUAAAGACCAGUUUGCUUCAACACAUAACUGAUGUGAUAAACGAUCCCUCAGCUGAUUCUAUUGUACGGUCAAGGGCAUCAUUGAUCAGUGGGAGGCUUCUUUCUUCAGCUGAUGCUUUUAUGACUAUAGAAAAAUCUUGUGUUACAAAUCUGCUCUUGGCCAUAGACAAAAUAUUGAGGACGGAGGAAGGUCAAAAUACUGAUGAAAUUGAGAGCGCAUUGGAGACCUUAGGACUAAUUGGUACAACAACUCAAGGAGCAUGCUUGUUGCUCUCUGAUCCACCAAAUAUUGCCAGACAUGUGGUAGAAAUGUCCUUUGAUAGGCAGGGCAGGGGUAAACAGCUGGCCGCUUUACAUGCCUUUGGAAGCAUAUGUGGUGUUGAUCGACAAGAAGACCAGAUGAAACUGGAUGAUCAUCAAGCAGAAGAGUGCCUGAAGCGCUUAGUCUACAGCGCCGCAUCAAACAGUCCAAAAUUAACUCCUUCAGCUCUUCUUCUAUCAAUUCUACAACAAGAUCCAGACGUUCGGAUUGCUGGUUAUAGAGUACUGUCAGGACUGGUUGUCCGAGAAUGGUGCCUAAGGGAAGUUUGCUCAAAGCCAGAGAUAAUCGGAAUUGUUACGGAUCCAAAAAUGGAGACAACAAAACUUGGCAUGGAGGCACGGUACGCUUGCUGUGUGGCAAUCAACAAGGCCUUGUCAUCGUCGCACCUUCUUCAUGAACCGAGCCUUUCUGAACUCAUUGGAAAGCUGAAUGAGGCGGUCAGAAGGGGUCCCUAUCUUUCCGAGAAGAGGCCGCGUGUGGAGGCACAGCCGGUGGUCGGUACCAUGGAGAGGUUUUAA
rnacentral:rRNA from 1 species